rnacentral:sRNA from 1 species
CAUGGCCAGGGCCCGCAGGCUGGAGCUGGCCGAGGCCCUGGCGCUGGGGCCAGGCUGGAGGCAUGCCUGCUAUGCGCUCCUGCACGCGCCGGACCCUGGAAUUCUCUUUGGCCGCCUCCCUCUGCGCUACGCCAUACUGGUGAUGCAGAUGCGCUUUGAUGGGCGCCUGGGCUUCCCUGGCGGAUUCGUGGACUCGCAAGACAGCAGCCUGGAGGACGGGCUGAACCGUGGUCUGCUGGAACUGCUGGGCGAGGCGGCGGCCGCCUUCCGCGUGGAGCGCCCUGACUACCGCAGCUCCCACGCCGGAUCAGGGCCACGCGUUGUGGCCCACUUCUAUGCCGAAUCUCUGACGCUCGAGCAGCUGUUGGCUGUGGAGGCCAGCGCAACAGGCGCCAAGGACCACGGGCUGGAGGGCUGGGCCUGGUGCGAGUGCCCAUGUAUACCCUGCGUGAUGGUGUGGGAGGCCUGCCCAUCUUUCUGGAGAAUUGCUUUAUUGGUGCUGCCCGGGAGCAGUUACUGGAUACCCUCCAGGACUUGGGAGUGGUGGAAGCUGGUGCUUUCUCAGGACUUCAGAUCCCAGUUCGUCUGAGGCAACCCUCUGUGGACUCAGGGAAGCUGAGCU